rnacentral:lncRNA from 1 species
GGAUCCCUGGGAAGGGACUGAGGAAGAAGAGGGGAUUUGGCCAGGAGCAGAGGGUAGGAGACGGACCACCCUGGAAACAUGGCAUGGAACUGGAAGCUGCAAGCAUCCUCAGCUGACAACUGCACCUCCGCGAAUGGCUGGGUCUCUGUAGUAAAACUGCGUGCGGUGGGAGGCCAUUGUGAUUGUGAUAGACCCGGGAAACCUGGUCUGACGCCCUUUUAAACUGCAGUUGGAGGAGGCUGACGAAGUAAAAAAGUUGACGUUGCCAGCUAACUAUGCGACCCUUUUGAUGUCUGUUGUCAGCCCCCCAGAACCUCUUCUUUGAGAAACUUCUGCAGUUCCUGGCCAAGGAGGUACCUACUGCCAGCGACUACUACCAAGAACAAGCAGCUCCAAAACUGGAUGGUGGGCAGAGAGAUUUUCAUCUGCUCGCCGUUAUCUCCUCGAUUUGACGAGCAGCUCCCUGGGUUUCCUCGUGGUUUGUUUCACAGGAUUCAGUGAACGUGUUCCAAGCAGCAGAGGGUCCUGGCAGUCCGACCCUGUGGGGAAUCCCCAGACUGACAUGGGGCCUCAGUAAAGGGAGUUUUUGAGAUAAGGUGGGGGUAUAGAGAAUGUACUGUGGGACAGCACCAGAAUGAAAAGGAAGUAAACCCAGGCAUAGACAUUGGGUGUUCAAUUCGGGGAGAGGUUCAGCAGCCCCAAAAUGAGGCAGCUGGAAGACUGGAGGCCUGAGCCCAGUAGGAGGAGGCGGAGGUGUGACCUGCCUAGUGUGGAGGUGACACUUCUUUCCUACAAUCCCACCUUCCACCCUCCCCGCUUCCUGUUGGCCUCUGUAGGCAUGACUUCCUUACGGGCUGGGGGCUGCCGACUGGUCUUUCACUCCAGCCCCAGACUUAAGGUGUGGCUGUACACAGGCACCCAACGACGGGCAUUUAGGAGUUCAGUGGGUGUCUCCUUUGGCUGGGGGCUGCUGAAUGCAGAAGUGGUGGCUCAAGUUCAUCAUAUCUGGCCACAGGUAGGCCAAGUAAAAAAAGAUGGGGAGGGUGACCAAAUGUUCCUAUAACACCAGGCCAGUGACCUCCAGUGGCAAGAGACAGGAAACAGCCAUCUUUACAUCUUCUUAUGCUUCAAAGUACAGCUGACGCAGCACAGCACUCCACACCCCACCAGGAUGUCUAGUGACUUUUUUUGGUUUUUGUUUUGGUGUUCAUUUGUUUGUUUUGAGACAGGGUCUCACUAUGUAGUCCUGGCCAACCUGAAACUUACUAUGUGGAUCCAACUGCCUCUGUCUUCCCAGUAUGUGCCACCACAUUUGGCCAUAUAGUGACUCUUUUUUAAAGUUACAUAUUUAUUGUUAAUUUUAUGUGCAUUGGUGUUGUCUGUGUGUAUCUCUGAGGCUGUUGGCUCCUUUGCAGCUGGAGUUACAGAUAGUGGUGAGCUGCCAUGUGGGUGCUGGGAAUUGAACCAGGGUCCUCUGGAAGAGCAACAAGUGCUCUUAAUUGCUGAGCCAUCUUUCCAGUCCUACAUCUAGUUGACUCUUAACAUGUACUACAUGACACCAAUCUUUGCCCUUUUGGCUUCUGGUUUCAUUUGAUUAUGAAUAACUGUUGUUGUGGGUUGGUUCUAAUGCUAUUUGUGUUCAUUUGACUCUCAAAAUCCCACAGGAUCCUGCUCAUCUACACUGAGGGUCCCUGACCCCAGUUGGCUCCGAUUGGGAAAUAAAGUUGCCAGUGGCCAAUGGCUUGGCAGGGGACAGAGGUGGGACUUUCAGGAUUCCAGAGCAAGAAAUGCAGAGGAAAGAGGAAGAGAGGAUUCAGCCACGACAAGGGUAUAGGAGACAGAUCACACAGGGAAGGUGGAGGAGGGAGAGAUGGGCAAGAUGUACAUGCAAAGGGAAAAGUGGUCCCAGGGCUGCCCAGAAGGGUUCAGAGCAGCAAAGACAAAUUUAGUAAGUAUUACCUUGUAAUAUCAGAGGGUCUGUGUUAACCAUGUGGAGGUUCAAGAGUGACCCAGCCACUGUGGUAGUUAAGGCAUAUUAAAAUACAAAGGUUGAGGGCUGGAGAGAUGGAUCAGCAGCUAAUAGCACUAACUGCUCUUUCAGAAGUCCUGCGUUCAAAUCCCAGCAACCACAUGGUGGCUCACAACCAUCUGUAAAGGGAUCUGAUGCCUUCUAGUUGUCGGAAGACAGCUACAGUAUACUCAUAUACAUAAAAUAAAUAAAAUCUUUUUUAAAAAAUA